CAGCGCCACGAGUGGCAACCGUAAUUAUUGGGCCUAAAGCGUCCGUAGCCGGUUUGGUAAGUCUUUUGUGAAAUCGUUGCGCUCCACGUAACGUUGUGCAAGAGAUACUGCCAGACUUGGAACUGGGAAGGGUCAGAAGUAUUCUGGGGGGAGCGGUAAAAUGUGAUAAUCCUCAGAGGACUACCUGUGGCGAAAGCGUCUGACUAGAACAGCUUCGACGGUGAGGGACGAAAGCUAGGGGAGCAAAACGGAUUAGAGACCCGAGUAGUCC
rnacentral:rRNA from 1 species